rnacentral:rRNA from 1 species
AAACUUUCAACAACGGAUCUCUUGGUUCUCGCAUCGAUGAAGAACGCAGCGAAAUGCGAUAAGUAGUGUGAAUUGCAGAAUUCAGUGAAUCAUCGAAUCUUUGAACGCACAUUGCGCCUCCUGGUACUCCGGGAGGCAUGCCUGUCCGAGCGUCAU